rnacentral:rRNA from 1 species
UUCCGGUUGAUCCUGCCGGAGGCUACCGCUAUUGGAGUUCGAUUAAGCCAUGCGAGUCGCGAGACUUAGAAUCUCGGCGUACCGCUCAGUAACACGUGGGUAACCUGCCCUAUGCUAGGGGAUAACCUCGGGAAACUGAGAAUAAUACCCUAUAGUUCACCACGCCUGGAACGGUGGGUGGAUGAAAGCUCCGGCGGCAUAGGAUGGGCCUGCGGCGUAUCAGGUUGUAGGGGGUGUAAUGUACCCUCUAGCCAUCUACGCGUACGGGUGUUGGGAGACAUCGCCCGGAGAUGGAUUCUGAGACACGAAUCCAGACCCUACGGGGUGCAGCAGGCGCGAAAACUUGGCAAUGCGAGAAAUCGUGACCAGGGAACUCCAAGUGCAUCGGGUAAGACCGAUGCUUUUCUUGACUCUUCAAAGGUCUUGGAAUAAGGGGUGGGUAAGGACGGUGCCAGCCGCCGCGGUAAUACCGGCGCCUCAAGUGGUAGUCGCUUUUAUUGGGCCUAAAACGUCCGUAGCCGGUUUGGUACAUUCGUGGGUAAAUCAAGGCGCUCAACGUCUUGAAUUCUGCGAGCACGGCCAGACUUGGGACCGGGUGAGGUGUGGGGUACUCUCAGGGUAGGGGUAAAAUCCUGUCAUCCUGAGAGGACCACCUGUUGCGAAGGCGCCACACUAGAACGGAUCCGACGGUCAGGGACGAAGCCUAGGGGCACGAACCGGAUUAGAUACCCGGGUAGUCCUAGGUGUAAACGCUGUGGACUUGAUGUUGGGAGUGCUCCGAGCACCCUCAGUGUCGAAGCGAAGGUGAUAAGUCCACUGCCUGGGGAGUACGGUCGCAAGGCUGAAACUUAAAGGAAUUGGCGGGGGAGCACUGCAACCUGAGGAUUGUGCGGUUUAAUUGGAUUCAACGCCGG